rnacentral:rRNA from 1 species
AGUGAACGCUGGCGGUAGGCCUAACACAUGCAAGUCGAACGGCAGCACAGUAAGAGCUUGCUCUUACGGGUGGCGAGUGGCGGACGGGUGAGGAAUACAUCGGAAUCUACUUUUUCGUGGGGGAUAACGUAGGGAAACUUACGCUAAUACCGCAUACGACCUACGGGUGAAAGCAGGGGAUCUUCGGACCUUGCGCGAUUGAAUGAGCCGAUGUCGGAUUAGCUAGUUGGCGGGGUAAAGGCCCACCAAGGCGACGAUCCGUAGCUGGUCUGAGAGGAUGAUCAGCCACACUGGAACUGAGACACGGUCCAGACUCCUACGGGAGGCAGCAGUAGGGAAUAUUGGACAAUGGGUGCAAGCCUGAUCCAGCCAUACCGCGUGGGUGAAGAAGGCCUUCGGGUUGUAAAGCCCUUUUGUUGGGAAAGAAAAGCAGCAGGUUAAUACCCCGCUGUUCUGACGGUACCCAAAGAAUAAGCACCGGCUAACUUCGUG